CUGUCACCUCUGGGGAUCUUGUAAGUUUUCUCAUCAGGUUUUCUGAGGUUGCGAAGAAUGCGGUCACUGUGGAUAUUGAUGGCCAUUCCAAGGCGGCACAGUGCAACAAGUAGUGUCCUUGCAUGAAGCCAUUACCCGUACAGAAGGCUGCUCCCGACACCAUGACAUCAACAGGAAAUGGCUGUCCACAGGUCCAGAUCCCCAUCAAUGAAGGCAAUUCUUCUCCUUUCCAUAAUACAUUGUCGCAUCUCUGCUGAAGCUUGCUAAAGACUAGACCAAUUCUAAAUUCUAGACAAAUUCUUAAGGUAUAAAUGUGGAGGUGAUGUGACUUAUGGGCCCCAAAUUUAAAUGCUGUGCAAAGUCUUAAGUCUGACUAAAGAUAACUUAAUACCUAUGCAAAAUCUAUUUGCAAAUUUGAUUACAUGAGCA